CUGAAGUCUGCAGGACGGUAGCUCUCCAGGUCAGAGCAGGGUUAGAGACACCUGAUAGAGAAUGGAACAGUUUAGUGCAAAACAUACAGUGGAAAAAGGUUUGGACUCUUCCUAACAAGUAUCUAUUGGUUGUUUGAGUAACCCAUGAUGCCGGAUUCCUUGAGUGUCUUCAAUCCAUGUCACAUGAUCAGACCUUACAAGAGGAUUAUGACAUUGGCCUUGGCUUUACUGAACCCUGGCCUACUUUGUAACCCAUGAAAGAUGACACUGACAAAAAUAAUGUCAUUCUCACAAUCUAAUUUUUUAUUUUAUUUAUUUAUAACUUUGUGUAUGCAAAACACAGUUAAUUCAUGCAAUUAAAUUAUAAUGUAACAGAAACAAGUUGCUUUUAAAUAAAAUAUUUAAGGAAAGAAAUUCUAGAUGGUGGAUAUGUACUAUAGUAAAUACAUGGUUGGUAAUCUGAAGCUCAGGAGGAACUGCUAAUAGAUAAUUCCAGCUAAGCGUUUUAGUGGCAACACAGCAAUCCAAUUGAUGAAUCAAAGGUUCACGCCAUCCAAAAGAAGAGCUGAACUGCAUGAGAUUUGUUUUUCAUUUGCUGGGAGUAUUGCAGCAAACACAUUCUCCCAAAAUGUUUACCCAAACAGCCCAGACAUAAGGAAUGUCUCAGCUAUUAUUUACA